rnacentral:tRNA from 1 species
GGGUUGUGGCUCAAUGGUAGAGUGCUUGCCUAGCAUGUGUGGAGCAGUGGGUGUGAUUCUCAGCACCACAUAAAAUUAAAAAAAUAAGAAAUGGAUAGGGAUGUUUCAGUGGUUAAGCGUUCCUGGGUUCAAACUCCAGGACCCA